rnacentral:lncRNA from 1 species
GGCAUUAGAACCGGAGGUUGAAAUCUUCUAGAUUAAUAAGCAAGUUCUUGGAUCCGAGGACCUUGAUAGGACUCAUGCUUGAGCUGCGGCCUCGACCAGAGAUUUGAGCAUAUAUGUCUAAAAAGAUAGAGACUGUAAUUUCUUGGAAAUUCAGUAGCAUGCUGCUAUGGAGUUCAGAUUGACAUACCACAGCUGCCAAUGGAUAGACAUAUUUGCAAGUUUACAUCUUACUUUACAAAGAGUACCAGUAUCACCUGCCCUUCUCUGUUGCUUCUUUCCUUCUUCCACUCAUCAAUCGCAGUAAUCCUUCGGUUCUUCAGUUCUUCAGUCUUCCUCCUGGCUUCAUCUUUUUCGUUGGCGCUCCCAGCAUCAUACUGUUCCACUCUGAAGCGCCAUGAUUCCCUGAUCGAAGACACAAACACAACUCCGAGCAACACACAUGUAACUUUCACAUAUUCCAUGUACACAUAGACCCUCUGUUUCAUCAGUUCUCUGCACCAUCUUCCCGUGCCACCCACUUCUCCGGACACAAAUAACUCAAGAGCAGGAGGACGGUCCAGUAAA